rnacentral:rRNA from 1 species
CCAAUAGCGUAUAUUAAAGUUGUUGCAGUUAAAAAGCUCGUAGUUGAAUUUCGGGAUCAAUACGUCGGUCGUGCCUCUGGUAUGUACUGGUGUUAUUGAUUUCUCCCUUCUGAUGAACCAUGAUGGCAUUAAUUUGGUGUUGUGUGGAGUCAGGACUGUUACUUUGAAAAAAUUAGAGUGUUUAAAGCAGGCUCACGCUUGAAUACAUUCGCAUGGAAUAAGUAAAUAGGACGUUCGAUCCUAUUUUGUUGGUUUCUAGGAUCAACGUAAUGAUUAAUAGGGAUAGUUGGGGGCAUUAGUAUUCAAUUGUCAGAGGCGAAAUUCUUGGAUUUAUUGAAGACUAACUACUGCGAAAGCAUUUGCCAAGGAUGUUUUCAUUAAUCAAGAACGAAAGUUAGGGGAUCGAAGACGAUCAGAUACCGUCGUAGUCUUAACCAUAAACUAUGCCGACUAGGGAUCGGAUGAUGUUAAUUUUUUAAUGACUCAUUCGGCGCCUUACG